rnacentral:tRNA from 1 species
UUUAAAUAAUUUAAUAAAAAUAUUGAUUUUGUAAAUCAAUUAUAAGAACCCAAUCUUUUUAAACUC